rnacentral:misc_RNA from 1 species
GAAAUGCGAUAAGUAAUGUGAAUUGCAGAAUUCAGUGAAUCAUCGAAUCUUUGAACGCACAUUGCGCCCGCCAGUAUUCUGGCGGGCAUGCCUGUCCGAGCGUCAUUUCAACCAUCAAGCCCCCGGGCUUGUGUUGGGGACCUGCGGCUGCCCGCAGGCCCUGAAAACCAGUGGCGGGCUCGCUGUCACACCGAGCGUAGUAGCAAUCACCUCGCUCAGGGCGUGCUGCGGGUUCCGGCCGUUAAACAGCCUUACAAAACCCAAGGUUGACCUCGGAUCAGGUAGGAAGAACCGCUGAACUUAAGC